GGAUUUCCCUACACGCCCCCUUGUUUUAGAGGCGAAGUGGGCGAAGCUCCUUGUCCGUCCGCCGUCGGAUCACAAGCACUGUCGCCCCAGCGGCAUCUACUGGGGCCGUUUUGGCCGCCGACGGGUCGACUUUUCCGUUGCCAGCUCGUCGCAAGUCCGAAUAGAGACCGACGUAUAAAAGAACUGAACAUCAGCCGACACCCUUUUAUGUUCCCAACCACACUGGCAGGCGCAGCGGAUCGCGACGCGAAAGAGCAACAACCUGGAAAACACCGCAUCAGUGCGUAGAGACACAUCUGGCAAAAGUUGGCCAAUAUAGCUUCCGGAAAGGUCUCGAACCGGAAGCAUGUCACAAGAAACCUCCCUGUAGGCUAACCGAGCAUAAGGUCCGACACAGUCUCUCGUGCAAAAGAGGCCGCUUUUAUUUUCAGUCAGCGUCGUAAUCGUCGUCCUCCCUCUUCCUUUUCUUGUCGGCCUCCGCACCGUUGUUCUCGCUCUUGAUGUUGAUGAUGGGCAGCAUGGCGGGCUGAACCACCGUCCCUGAAGAAGCGCCGGUCGUAAAGGUGCCGGCGAGACUCGCCCCGCCCGCAAGCGCUGAAGUGGGUGCCGCGACGGACAACGCCGAAGUGGCCGGGACCGCGGAUGUCGCUGCCACUUGUGGGGGGCCGGUGACUGGCGUCACAGAAGAGACCGCGGGCCCCGAGGACACCGACGUGCUCAAGGUCGGGGGUGGUCCUGUCGAGAAAGCGUUCAAGGUCAGCUAAAACCAGCGAUGUAUCCGCGGAAUUGCAGCACGUCGGUCAAAUCCACAUCGCCUAUUGGGUAAGAGC